UACGGAGGGUGCAAGCGUUAAUCGGAAUUACUGGGCGUAAAGCGCACGCAGGCGGUCUGUUAAGUCAGAUGUGAAAUCCCCGGGCGUUAACCUGGGAACGUGCAUUUGUAAACUAGGCAGGCUUGAGUCUCGUAGAGGGGGUAGGAAUUCCAGGUGUAGCGGUGAAAUGCGUAGAGAUCUGGAGGAAUACCGGUGGCGAAGGCGGCCCCCUCGGA
rnacentral:rRNA from 1 species